rnacentral:rRNA from 1 species
AUGCAGUCGAGCGAACUGAUUAGAAGCUUGCUUCUAUGACGUUAGCGGCGGACGGGUGAGUAACACGUGGGCAACCUGCCUGUAAGACUGGGAUAACUUCGGGAAACCGAAGCUAAUACCGGAUAGGAUCUUCUCCUUCAUGGGAGAUGAUUGAAAGAUGGUUUCGGCUAUCACUUACAGAUGGGCCCGCGGUGCAUUAGCUAGUUGGUGAGGUAACGGCUCACCAAGGCAACGAUGCAUAGCCGACCUGAGAGGGUGAUCGGCCACACUGGGACUGAGACACGGCCCAGACUCCUACGGGAGGCAGCAGUAGGGAAUCUUCCGCAAUGGACGAAAGUCUGACGGAGCAACGCCGCGUGAGUGAUGAAGGCUUUCGGGUCGUAAAACUCUGUUGUUAGGGAAGAACAAGUACGAGAGUAACUGCUCGUACCUUGACGGUACCUAACCAGAAAGCCACGGCUAACUACGUGCCAGCAGCCGCGGUAAUACGUAGGUGGCAAGCGUUAUCCGGAAUUAUUGGGCGUAAAGCGCGCGCAGGCGGUUUCUUAAGUCUGAUGUGAAAGCCCACGGCUCAACCGUGGAGGGUCAUUGGAAACUGGGGAACUUGAGUGCAGAAGAGAAAAGCGGAAUU